ACUGUUAUUUCAUAAACAACAUGUUUCCUGCUAAGUUGCAAAGUUGAGGACGACAGUGAAGAUGAAGUUUAUGACUCACGUUAACUUAACUGAUUCUGCAAAUAACGCCCAGAUACUCCAGCAGCUCGGAACCAAGCUAACAAGUCAAGGAUGGGCUGAUUUCAAACUGCAAUGGAAGAUUCAACCCAAAAAACAAGAGAAUGGGGAAAACUGAGAAACUUAGGUGUUAUACAGUAAUGAUAUAAUUUGCUGAAUCAGGGUCUCUGUCCACUCCAAGUGACAAUUUUCAAUACGAAUUUUAUAGCUCUUAUGGUAUCAACACACAGCAUUAGCAUUGACAAUGUUCAGAAUCUUCAGUGCUGACCCUUAGAGUCACUGACAGGUAUAUUGUAACCCAGCUGGAGAAAUGGGUUAAAAUAAGAUAAGCUUUGUAAGUUAUUUGCUUUGUUAUAGAAUUGUUCUUUAUUUGUUUUUUCAUUGUUACAAGAAGUAAUAAUGUGAAAAAUGGGAUUUAGUUCCACCCUUCCUGCUGUGCCUAGCAGGAGUUUUUAUUUUGAAGGUUUACCGGAAGUUGUGUGUUAACAUUACAUGUUCUUACUAGCCAUUUGAAGGAAAAAAGAAAAGCCGAUGUUAUCUUGAUCAGCAGCAGAAACUGCCUCAGUUAUGGAAGCAAAGCUUCAUAAAAAGUUGUUAAAAAAGUGUUCAGAAGUUUUUCGCUAACAUCUCAGUAGUGAGGUAAAUGUUAGGCAGAGCUGCCGAAAUCAGCAGAGGUAGUGGCUAAGUUAAGGGUGUUCCACGUGUCUCGGUCAGGUCUUUUAGUGACCUAUGAGCUCCAUGAGGAAAGACCAGUGAUUCCAGUUGAUGGCAAGCCUCCCAGUGUGAUUUCCAGGAUCCAGAUCUGGACAACCACUCAGAUGGCCAAUGGUUUAUAUGAUUUCUGGUAGGAUUCCACCAGUCAUCCCAACUGGCAACAGUGAACAGACAGAAAGAGUGCACUCCAGACUAUAAGUACACCAGGUGCGAAACUUCACUAGACUUGUGAGUUGCUGACUGACAGAUUAUUACAGAUCAUUCCCUCAUCUGAUCUGUGCUUUGACUUGACCAUAAAACUCUGAGGAACAAACUGAAAUAUAAGGUUGCAACCUAACAAAAUACCUUCAAAGGGACAAUUCAAAUGGUUAAGGACAAUGCUUUUUAUUUUCAUUUUAUUUUGUAAAGGGCCCUGGUUGUUAUCUUUGUUGUGAAACUGUUACCUGUUUAAAACUAAAGUCACAGUUAACUGAAAUUUCUGUGCAUUAUGAUUAUUCAAACUCAUCUCCAGCUCCUCCCCGAACCUAGAGUGAGGUGUACUUACCCACGAGUGGGUUACAAUAUAUUUACAAACAAACAAUGAAAAAGAUUUUUUGACAAUGAGAUCUCAGGUGCAGAAAUGUUUUCCAUGGACACAGACCCCUACGCUUUAGCUAACAGGAGAAUUCAUCAUAGAUGUGGAUCAGGCAAUUUCUGAUGCUGUAAAUAAUGUAAUGUAAAGUCUCUCUUCAAACAUGAAAACCAUAUAAAAGUUCAGGAACUCGUCCCUGACCCGGAGUGGACACUCCA
rnacentral:lncRNA from 1 species